rnacentral:ncRNA from 1 species
GCUCUGGUCGGAAACCAGGGCACGAAGAAGGAG